rnacentral:misc_RNA from 1 species
GAAAUGCGAUAAGUAAUGUGAAUUGCAGAAUUCAGUGAAUCAUCGAAUCUUUGAACGCACAUUGCGCCCCUUGGUAUUCCGAGGGGCAUGCCUGUUCGAGCGUCAUUAUAACCAAUCCAGCCUGGCUGGGUCUUGGGCUUCGCCAACCGGCGGGCCUUAAAAUCAGUGGCGGUGCUGCCAGGCUCUAAGCGUAGUAAAUACCUCGCUAUAGGGUCCUGGUGGAGGCUUGCCAACAACCCCCAACUUCUUAGGUUGACCUCGGAUCAGGUAGGGAUACCCGCUGAACUUAA